UACGUAGGGUGCAAGCGUUAAUCGGAAUUACUGGGCGUAAAGCGUGCGCAGGCGGUUGUGUAAGACAGAUGUGAAAUCCCUGGGCUUAACCUAGGAACUGCAUUUGUGACUGCACAGCUAGAGUGUGUCAGAGGGGGGUAGAAUUCCACGUGUAGCAGUGAAAUGCGUAGAUAUGUGGAGGAAUACCGAUGGCGAAGGCAGCCCCCUGGGAUAACACUGACGCUCAUGCACGAAAGCGUGGGGAGCAAACAGG
rnacentral:rRNA from 1 species